CAGCCGCCACGGGAAUACGUAGGGUGCGAGCGUUAAUCGGAAUUACUGGGCGUAAAGCGUGCGCAGGCGGUUGUGUAAGACAGGUGUGAAAUCCCCGGGCUUAACCUGGGAACUGCGCUUGUGACUGCACAGCUAGAGUAUGGCAGAGGGGGGUGGAAUUCCACGUGUAGCAGUGAAAUGCGUAGAGAUGUGGAGGAACACCGAUGGCGAAGGCAGCCCCCUGGGCCAAUACUGACGCUCACGCACGAAAGCGUGGGGAGCAAACAGGAUUAGAUACCCCUGUAGUCCCUGUCUCUUAUAC
rnacentral:rRNA from 1 species